rnacentral:rRNA from 1 species
UCCCAUAAACCGUGGCUCAGUUCAGAUCGUAGGCUGCAACUCGCCUACGUGAAGGAGGAAUCGCUAGUAAUCGCAGGUCAGCAUACUGCGGUGAAUACGUUCCCGGGCCUUGUACACACCGCCCGUCACACCAUGGAAGUUGGCCACGCCCGAAGCCGUUACUCCAACCCUCGGGAGGAGGAUGUCGAAGGUGGGGCUGAUGACUGGGGUGAAGUCGUAACAAGGUAUCCGUACCGGAAGGUGCGGAUGGAUCACCUCCUAA